UGGGGAAUAUUGCACAAUGGGCGCAAGCCUGAUGCAGCCAUGCCGCGUGUAUGAAGAAGGCCUUCGGGUUGUAAAGUACUUUCAGCGAGGAGGAAGGCGGUAAGGUUAAUAACCUUAUCGAUUGACGUUACUCGCAGAAGAAGCACCGGCUAACUCCGUGCCAGCAGCCGCGGUAAUACGGAGGGUGCAAGCGUUAAUCGGAAUUACUGGGCGUAAAGCGGACGCAGGCGGUCUGUCAAGUCGGAUGUGAAAUCCCCGGGCUCAACCUGGGAACUGCAUUCGAAACUGGCAGGCUAGAGUCUUGUAGAGGGGGGUAGAAUUCCAGGUGUAGCGGUGAAAUGCGUAGAGAUCUGGAGGAAUACCGGUGGCGAAGGCGGCCCCCUGGACAAAGACUGACGCUCAGGUGCGAAAGCGUGGGGAGCAAACA
rnacentral:rRNA from 1 species